ACCAACAGAAACCCCUGGCAACAACAACUGCCAGGAGGAGGAGCCAGAGCAGGAACUGGAGCCGGCUAUUAACAUCUGCCAUGAGACUCCAGCAUUCCCUGAGAAUAACACCUGUCAGGUAAGAAAAAAUAAUAGGGUCACAAUAGAAAAGGA